AACGAACGCUGGCGGCAGGCCUAACACAUGCAAGUCGAGCGAGACCUUCGGGUCUAGCGGCGGACGGGUUAGUAACGCGUGGGAAUAUGCCCUUCACUACGGAAUAGCCUCGGGAAACUGGGAGUAAUACCGUAUACGCCCUUUGGGGGAAAGAUUUAUCGGUGAAGGAUUAGCCCGCGUCUGAUUAGAUAGUUGGUGGGGUAAUGGCCUACCAAGUCUACGAUCAGUAGCUGGUUUGAGAGGAUGAUCAGCAACACUGGGACUGAGACACGGCCCAGACUCCUACGGGAGGCAGCAGUGGGGAAUCUUAGACAAUGGGCGCAAGCCUGAUCUAGCCAUGCCGCGUGAGUGACGAAGGCCUUAGGGUCGUAAAGCUCUUUCGCCAGAGAUGAUAAUGACA
rnacentral:rRNA from 1 species